AACAGGUCAAUAUUUAACAGGUACCACCUUGCUAAUUCUUGUGUUUUGAAAUUAAAGUUUUGCAUAAGAAGUUAGGAAUGAGAACAUUGAAAUAAUCCAAUUUUUGUUUGUUGUUCUUCACUUUGACUUGACCAAAUGACUGCAUAAGACCUUAUUAGUUUAUGUAUAUUGUAGCAUGAUUGACAAAUAUUAUAAGACCUUCUUAAUUUAUAGGAAUUUUCAAAAGCUCACUCUUAAAGAUAGUCCACGAAGUGCAUUCACCGACAAAGACGGUCUCUCUGGACUGUAAUGGCAUAAACAUUUGAUCUAUGGACCAUCUAAACAUAAUCGUUAUGGCUCUCAACCAUUCCUUGGAAUUGGUGAUGCUGUACAAAUGGCCAGGAAACUACACAUUGUAGAAUCAUGGAGUCGAUUAAAAAGUUUGGAGAGUCUCAAGAGUCAUCAGAAAAGCUUCGUUAGUUCACAUUACUCUAUAAGUUUUUUCUAUAUCAACAUGUAUAAUAGCAAUAAUAGCAAUGACACGUUUGUUUGAUGGAUUUUCAAACUUUCUUAUCUUAUGUUUGAUCCUGAAUUAUGCAGUAUGAAGUGUAACUCCCAAAACUAUACUUUGGAACUGACAUGUUUCUGUUUCUCUAUCUGUGAGAAUUGUUAUGUAUCAUGAAUAAAGGUGAUCUUAUACUUUAACAUGUUGCAGUAAUACAACAAUUGGGGAUCUUAAACCAGUUGAUACAAUGUUGCCAAUGCCCUGUCAAUGCAAUUUUCUAAAUAAUAGUUGGUGCAUUUGGAAAUCAAGGAACCAUAAAAUCUUCUGAAACGAAGAGAUUCAAAUUGGAAAAAUGAUAGAGGAAGCAAAGAUAUGCGCUUGGAAAUGGCUGAAGAUUAAAUCCAUGUUGAUUAAGGAUGAUUUUGUUUUGUUUUGUUUAAAUCCUAAAGCCUGUUUGUGUGGUGUGGAUGCCUGAGUUAUUUCUGUUUGUGGGUCAAUCUGGUCUGAGAAUUUUGGGUCGUGGCAAUAUAGUGCUCCAUCAGUUCAGCGGCGUUAUGUGGUUUCUGCAGUAUUUGGUUGAUCAGAGCGCCAUUUGCAGCCUGUGUUGAAGGGAGUAUUUCAAUUUAGUCUCUUUUUGCUGGGUUCUGUUGCUGGUAGCUUCCCCUUUUUUGGCUUUCUGGCUGUUGUGUUUGCAUCAUUUGCGCUUCGUUUUGGUGUCUCAUGAGCUUAGGGUUAUGUGUUGUGCUAUCUAUUUUAAUAGGUGGAGUUAUCCUAUCCUGUACUUUGCAGUUUCAUGGUUUACUCUUGAUUUGGGUUAGCGUGUAUUUUGCCUUAGGUGUUACUCAGUAGUGAUGGUACUGGUUUUAGUUUGGGUAGCUUUGUUGUUCAGAGGUUUUGUUAUGUGGAUUAUGGUGGUCUGUAGCACUUCUUGUGUGCUAUCUUCUUCUUAAUU